rnacentral:rRNA from 1 species
AGAGUUUGAUCAUGGCUCAGAACGAACGCUGGCGGCGCGUUUUAAGCAUGCAAGUCGAACGGUAGAGGAAGCCAGCACCGGGUGUACGAUCCUGAAGGAAGGGAAGUAUAUCGGGUGCUGGUUUUCUUGAGAGUGGCGCACGGGUGAGUAAUACGUAGGUGAUCUACCCUUGGAUUGGGGAUAGCUCAUGGAAACAUGAGAUAAUACCGAAUACGUCCUUCACAGCGAUGUGGAGGGGAAAGCUCCUUUACGGGAGCGUCCUUGGAUGAGCCUGCGGUCCAUUAGCCAGUUGGUGGGGUAACGGCCUACCAAAGCGACGAUGGAUAGCCGGCCUGAGAGGGUGUACGGCCACACUGGAACUGAGACACGGUCCAGACUCCUACGGGAGGCAGCAGCUAAGAAUCUUCUGCAAUGGGCGAAAGCCUGACAGAGCGACGCCGCGUGAACGAUGAAGGCCGCAAGGUUGUAAAGUUCUUUUCUUUGUGAGGAAUAAGGGAGAGAGGAAAUGCUCUUCUGAUGACGUAAGCGAAGGAAUAAGCCCCGGCCAAUUACGUGCCAGCAGCCGCGGUAAUACGUAUGGGGCGAGCGUUGUUCGGAAUCAUUGGGCGUAAAGGGCGUGUAGGCGGCAUAGCAAGCUUGGUGUGAAAUGUCACGGCUUAACCGUGAAUGUGCGCUGAGAACUGCUAAGCUUGAGUUUUGGGGGGGAAGCUGGAAUUCCUGGUGUAGGGGUGAAAUCUGUAGAUAUCAGGAAGAACACCGAUGGCGAAGGCAAGCUUCUAUCCAAAGACUGACGCUGAGGCGCGAAAGUGUGGGGAGCGAACAGGAUUAGAUACCCUAGUAGUCC